AUUGAACGCUGGCGGCAGGCCUAACACAUGCAAGUCGAACGGUAGCACAGAGAGCUUGCUCUCGGGUGACGAGUGGCGGACGGGUGAGUAAUGUCUGGGAAACUGCCCGAUGGAGGGGGAUAACUACUGGAAACGGUAGCUAAUACCGCAUAACGUCGCAAGACCAAAGUGGGGGACCUUCGGGCCUCACACCAUCGGAUGUGCCCAGAUGGGAUUAGCUAGUAGGUGGGGUAAUGGCUCACCUAGGCGACGAUCCCUAGCUGGUCUGAGAGGAUGACCAGCAACACUGGAACUGAGACACGGUCCAGAAUCCUACGGGAGGCAGCAGUGGGGAAGAUUACACUAUGGGCGCAAGCCUGAUGCAGCCAUGCCGCGUGUAUGAAGAAGGCCUUCGGGUUGUAAAGUACUUUCAGCGGGGAGGAAGGCGGUGAAGUUAAUAACUUCACCGAUUGACGUUACCCGCAGAAGAAGCACCGGCUAACUCCGUGCCAGCCGCCGCAGUAA
rnacentral:rRNA from 1 species